rnacentral:rRNA from 1 species
UACGAAGGGGGGCUAGCGUUGUUCGGAUUUACUGGGCGUAAAGCGCACGUAGGCGGAUCGUUAAGUCAGGGGUGAAAUCCUGGAGCUCAACUCCAGAACUGCCUUUGAUACUGGCGAUCUUGAGUCCGGAAGAGGUGAGUGGAACUCCUAGUGUAGAGGUGGAAUUCGUAGAUAUUAGGAAGAACACCAGUGGCGAAGGCGGCUCACUGGUCCGGUACUGACGCUGAGGUGCGAAAAGCGUGGGGAGCAAACAGGG